GACGAACGCUGGCGGCGUGCUUAACACAUGCAAGUCGAACGGUAAGGCCCUUUCGGGGGUACACGAGUGGCGAACGGGUGAGUAACACGUGGGUGAUCUGCCCUGCACUUUGGGAUAAGCCUGGGAAACUGGGUCUAAUACCGGAUAGGACUACGCGAUGCAUGUCGUGUGGUGGAAAGCUUUUGCGGUGUGGGAUGGGCCCGCGGCCUAUCAGCUUGUUGGUGGGGUGAUGGCCUACCAAGGCGACGACGGGUAGCCGGCCUGAGAGGGUGUCCGGCCACACUGGGACUGAGAUACGGGCCAGAAUCCUACGGGAGGCAGCAGUGGGGAAUAUUGCACAAUGGGCGCAAGCCUGAUGCAGCGAAGCCGCGUGGGGGAUGACGGCCUUCGGGUUGUAAACCCCUUUCAGCACAGACGAAGCGUAAGUGACGGUAUGUGCAGAAGAAGCACCGGCCAACUACGUG
rnacentral:rRNA from 1 species